rnacentral:miRNA from 1 species
AUUUAUAUAAUAUGUGUGUAUACACAUAUAUGUGUGUAUGUACAUACAUACACACACAUAAACACACAUAUAUAAUCGCAAAAA